rnacentral:rRNA from 1 species
GACGUAGGGUGCGAGCGUUAUUCGGAAUUACUGGGCGUAAAGCGUGCGCAGGCGGUUUUUUAAGCCAGGUGUGAAAGCCCCGGGCUUAACCUGGGAAUGGCAUUUGGGACUGCAAGGCUUGAGUGCGGCAGAGGAGACUGGAAUUCCUGGUGUAGCAGUGAAAUGCGUAGAUAUCAGGAGGAAUACCGAUGGCGAAGGCAGGUCUCUGGGCUGACACUGACGCUCAUGCACGAAAGCGUGGGGAGCAAACAGG